rnacentral:lncRNA from 1 species
CCUAAAAUUAACGAUCAUGUAAACCUCCAGUGGCCAUCAUAUAAGCAACCACAGGGCUCGAACCUGAGACCACAGAGAAAACAAACUUCUUAAUCUUAAACUAUACCACUGGGUUGGUCACUACCUAGAUGAUUGACCUAAACUGUUUUGAUUGCACGUAAGCAUGUUUGCUUCUACACAAAUAUAGGAGGUGGUUACGAGGCUUUUCUUUUCUUCCAUGUACAUGCUUCUACACAAUGGAUAUAUAGUGAUUGUGUGUUAGAGAAUGCACUAAAGUCAUUGGUACUGCAAAUAUGUACUGUUGAGUACCAAUCUUUGUACUGUUAGGGCCAAGACAUGAAAUUUAAACAACAUAUUUCACAUGGUUGAAAAGCAGGCAAGUGUUUUUUGAUUACUUUCCAAGAACAAAUCAAUCUGACAGGACGAAUCCAAUGAAAAAAGAAAAAGAAAAAAAGAGUCACCGAUGGUGUUAUGACUGGAGUGAAAACAUGACAGAUUAGUUCAUCUCAAGUUACAGCACGCAGCAAUUUUACCUCAAGAAAAUGAAGAGGUUAAAAUUUCAGGAAGAAUCCAAGGGAGGCAUUUAGUCACAGGUGUUGAAAUUGCUUGAUCUUAUCCUCUCAUGUCAUAACAUGAUCCUGUGCUAAUUAAUGGUCCCUACAAAAUCAUUGAUGGCCACACCCCAUAAUAUAGUGAAAUGCACCUUAUCAUUCCCCUAAAGCUGUCAUUAUGGUCUCCUAGCCUCCAGCAUCAUUCAUGCAGGCACACCCCCUUCGGCUUUCAUUACCCCCAUCUUUCCUAGAAACCAAACAGAAUUACCACUUUGAAUCCUACAAAUUAAUCCAUACAAAUCCCACUUUACACAUCAACUGUUUUU